AGCGCAGGCGGUUUCUUAAGUCUGAUGUGAAAGCCCCCGGCUUAACCGGGGAGGGUCAUUGGAAACUGAGGAACUUGAGUGCAGAAGAGGAGAGUGGAAUUCCAUGUGUAGCGGUGAAAUGCGUAGAUAUAUGGAGGAACACCAGUGGCGAAGGCGACUCUCUGGUCUGUAACUGACGCUGAGGCUCGAAAGCGUGGGGAGCAAACA
rnacentral:rRNA from 1 species